UAACGGCCGUUCUGGCAGUCCAAUCAAGUCGACUGUGGAGAUUUGAAAGUACACUUCCGUCCGCCUUUUUUUUCCGUUGGAAAUGCAAGAUGCAGGCGACUUCAGACACCGAGACAAUAGCUGACGGCCCAGGACUUGUGUCCACAUCUGUCCAAGUUCUUGCCACUGUAUUCAAAAAUGAAAAAGAGUGCACACGAAAGAUAUACAAUGUUCACAAUCUUGAACAACUGGUUAACAAUAGCCUUUCAGAGCAACCAGGGUUUGAAUUUGACAGAGUCCUGAAAUACCACACUGAUUUCCAAGAAUUUGUGGAUGUAGACAGAUGUGUGGCUAUAAAGAACUUGGACAGAUUCCAGAUCUUCAUGGUAAAGGCAGAAGCACCAGCCCAGACAAAUUCUGGCAACAUGUGUCAAACAGAGUGUGCCUACAGCCUGCAGCCUUUACUAGAGAAAAAAGCUCCU